UUAAAUUGAAGAGUUUGAUCAUGGCUCAGAUUGAACGCUGGCGGCAGGCCUAACACAUGCAAGUCGAACGGUAACAGGAAGCAGCUUGCUGUUCGCUGACGA
rnacentral:rRNA from 1 species